rnacentral:rRNA from 1 species
UACGUAGGGACCAAGCGUUGUUCGGAUUUACGGGGCGUAAAGGGCGCGUAGGCGGCGUGGCAAGUCACUUGUGAAAUCUCCGGGCUUAACUCGGAACGGCCAAGUGAAACUGCCAUGCUAGAGUGCAGAGGGGGCAAUCGGAAUUCUUGGUGUAGCGGUGAAAUGCGUAGAUAUCAAGAGGAACACCUGAGGUGAAGACGGGUUGCUGGGCUGACACUGACGCUGAGGCGCGAAAGCCAGGGGAGCAAACGGG